rnacentral:lncRNA from 1 species
UGAACACAGGCUCCCACCUUCAACUUAUCACUUCCUUACCUUUGCUGGGGUACCUGAUGACUUUAAAGAGACUGUUUCUUUGGAGAAGGUGGAAUACGCUUAAAGAUUGGUCUUGCCUUUAAAACACCAUUUUAAAAGAGACCAUUUGUUAGUGCCUGAAAUCUGUAACUGGCUUAAAAGCUCUGUCAGCUGGAAAGGAACCUGUCAGUGUGAUAAUGGAAAAGAAGAAGAUACAUCAGAGAGAGCUCUUCUGAGGAUUAAAGGAGGUAACUUAAGAAGAAGAGUUAAUGAGAAAAUGUCCAGUCUGAAGGAAAAAAGUGUAAGAAAUGAUUCCCAAAUGUGAACACAUAGAAACCAUA